CAGCCGCCGCGGGAAUACGAAGGGUGCAAGCGUUAAUCGGAAUUACUGGGCGUAAAGCGUGCGUAGGCGGCUUCUUAAGUCGGAUGUGAAAUCCCUGAGCUUAACUUAGGAAUUGCAUUCGAUACUGGGAAGCUAGAGUAUGGGAGAGGAUGGUAGAAUUCCAGGUGUAGCGGUGAAAUGCGUAGAGAUCUGGAGGAAUACCGAUGGCGAAGGCAGCCAUCUGGCCUAAUACUGACGCUGAGGUACGAAAGCAUGGGGAGCAAACAGGAUUAGAUACCCGCGUAGUCCCUGUCUCUUAUAC
rnacentral:rRNA from 1 species